GAAUAUUGCACAAUGGAGGAAACUCUGAUGCAGCGACGCCGCGUGAACGAAGAAGGCCUUCGGGUUGUAAAGUUCUGUCUUUGGGGAAGAUAAUGACGGUACCCAAGGAGGAAGCCCCGGCUAACUACGUGCGAGCAGCCGCGGUAAUACGUAGGGGGCUAGCGUUGUCCGGAAUUAUUGGGCGUAAAGGGUUCGCAGGCGGCCAUGUAAGUCAGAUGUGAAAGACAGCGGCUUAACCGUUGCAAGCAUUUGAAACUGUGUGGCUUGAGUUAAGGAGAGGAAAGCGGAAUUCCUAGUGUAGCGGUGAAAUGCGUAGAUAUUAGGAGGAAUACCAGUGGCGAAGGCGGCUUUCUGGCCUUUAACUGACGCUGAGGAACGAAAGCGUGGGGAGCAAAC
rnacentral:rRNA from 1 species